AUUGAACGCUGGCGGCAGGCUUAACACAUGCAAGUCGAGCGAGGCGGGGGCGGGUGAGUCAUGUCUGGGAACCCGUGCUAGGGAGGGGGAUCACCACUGGACACGGUAGCUAAUACCGCAUACUACCAGAUGUGCCCAGAAGGGAUUAGCUAGGAGGUGGGGUAAUGGCUCACCUAGGCGACGAUCCCUAGCUGGUCUGAGAGGAUGACCAGCCACACUGGCACUGAGACACGGUCCAGACUCCGUCGGGAGGGUGCAGUGGGGAAUAUUGCACAAUGGGUGCUAGCGUGAUGCAGCCAUGCCGCGUGUGUGAAGAAAGCCGUCGGGUUGGAAAGCACUUUCCGAGCAGAGGCGUUGCUCGUCCAAGCAUCACCGGCUAACUCCGUGCCAGCAGCCGCGGUAAUUC
rnacentral:rRNA from 1 species